UCUAGGGUGAGCAACUGCCAGUCCAUAAAAUGGCUGCCUUAUCAGUCUGCCUUCUCGGACAUGGUUCAUCAGCCUCGACCUCGUAAAUUGUUGACAUAAUUUACAGAUUUUUCUCUUCACUUGGAUGGAACCUCUUUAGGGUUUUGUGAGAACAAGCUUCCAAGAUAUCUGAUGGCGGACGAUGAAUACGACGAUUUGGAGAUGGGGAUUGAUGAGAACAUGGAGGAUACUCUUGCAAAUGUUGAAGGGGCGCAGAACCAGUUGACCAGGUAUCUUAGCAGUAUAUCCUCAAACAGAUGGCUGAUGAUCAAGAUAUUCUUUGUAUUGAUUGUAUUUCAGAUGUUCUUCCUAUUUUUCGUUGCGUAAAUGUCAUUCAAGAACCUUUUUUGCUAUUGUAUAUACAUUGAGAAAAAAUUUAUAUGAAAAAUAAAGUAAAUUGCUAUUGUAGAUUCGGCUCGAUCGAACUUCAUUUUAGAUUGCUUUUUUUUCAUUUUUUUUCCCCUGGUGGAAGAGGAGAGUGGCAGCUAAGUUUAAGUGUUGGAUUGAAAUAGGUUAAUUUUUUUGGCAAAACAAUAUGUAAUAUCUCUUGAUUGUUGUAAGCAUUACUAGAUGGUACUUCUAGAUGACAGAUUCUGUUAGCUCUUCUUUUCUCUUGGUUUUCGCCAUCACGUUAUUCAUUAUUUGAUUUAUGAGAAUGUAAAAUUGAUUCAGUGGAUAAUAUACCUACAAGAAUUAGAGAAAAUAUAUUUUAUUUAUGAGCUCGAUUUCAUUAUUUAUUUAUAUCUAUUUCAAGUGGGUAGAUCAUCGAUUAUGUAUGAAAAGCUUUUUUCAACAUGGGGGGGUGAGAUGGGAUGGAUUUUACCCCCUUGAGGGACCGCACUUAUCACCGAAGAUGUUACGAAGCCUAGAAAUGAUGCUACGAAGCCUAGCAAUGAUGCUACUACAUCACCCAACCAAGAGACCCUUUGCUUAUUAUUUUGCUGUAAAGUCUAAUGGUACAUGUCAACAGUAUGGCCCUUAUAGUUAAUCAUCACAUAAUAUGAACUAAUCUCUUUUGCUAAUAGGCGUAAUUGAGUUUUUGCAACAGAUAUAACAAUGACUCAAGGACAUUUUAGAUGAUGCGAACAAUCCUGCACGUGUUUUGUAACCAAAAAAUAGCUUGC